AAAUAAUGCAGUUUUGCAUUAUUCAUGUUCAACGUUUGACCGUUCGUCUUAUUUAAAUUUUUUUUGUGAUUAGUAUUUUUAUUGUUAUUAGAUGAUAAAACAUAAAUAGUACUUUAUGGGUGACUAUUUUAUUAGUUUUUUCAUAAAUUUUUCAAAUAAGACGAACGGUCAAACGUUGGACACAGAUCCCCACAAACUACACUUAUU
rfam:Oryza rufipogon genomic scaffold, chr12